AUGGCUUUAGUACGUGAUCUUUGGUUGCCAAGUAGUUUGGACACGAUGACAGGGCCAAUUUGGCCAUCUAUUGAGGCCGAAAAUUUUGAGUUGAGGCCUGGACUUAUUGCUCUCGUCUUGCAGAAUCAGUUUAGAGGAUUACCCAAUGAAGACCCUCAUGAGCACAUUAGUAAUGUUCUGGAGUAUGCCAAUACAGUCCAGUAUCAUGGUGUUUCCCAAGAUGCUAUCAAGUGUAUGUUGUUCACAUUCUCUCUCAGAGAUGCUGCUAAGGACUGGUACUAUUCUUUGCCAUCAAGAUCAUACACUUGGGGUGAUAUUUCACAAGCUUUCCUGCAUAGAUAUUUUCCACUUUACAAGCAAGCUACAAUUCGUGACCAGAUCCUCAGUUUUGCGCAAGAUGGUAGUGAGAGCUUGUAUGCAGCUUGGGAGAGAUAUAAGUAUUUGCUUAGAAAAUGUCCUAAUCAUGGGCAAAAGGAUUGGUUAGUGCUUCAGAUAUUCUAUAGAGGGCUGACACAUGCUUCAAGAGAUCUUAUUGAUAUGUCAGCUGGUGGAACAAUCAUGAACAACACCGUCGAGGGUGCAAUUAUUCUCAUUGAGAGCAUUGCCUUCCACCAAAUGCAAUGGGGUUAUGAAAGGCCUAGUUCAAAUCCGAAGGUUGCAGGCCUCGUGCAAUCAGAAGCUGUGUGUUCCAUAAGUGAACAGUAA
rnacentral:rRNA from 1 species